UCCAGGAAGUACACUUAAGCAGAAACAGGAAGUAAAAGUAGGAAGGGGCCCAUCUAAGCAUCAGAUAAAGAAUUUUCAGGCUAAAGGAACAGCACAGAUGAGGCGGUAAAAAAUCUGAGUCCCUGGAGGGAAGAGACCACGGGGGCUGGACCAUAGUGACCAAGAACAGGAGUUGGGCAGAUGCGCUGAGAAGUGGCCGGCGUAGACCCCCAGGACUGGCGCAGACUCCUGCAAGGAGUGCAAGGGGAAGGCCGUGAACGGGCCCAAGCACCGUGUGUGUGAGUGUGCCCAGGUACUGGCGCAUGAACUCUGGCUGUGCACAGAAUGAACUGGAAGAAAAGCCAGACUAAAGACAUCAAUUGACAAGAUGAAUGACUGAUCUAAAGUCUUCACAGUGAUUCCAGCGGAUCAUCUCACCCACUCAUACUCUUGGCAACCCAACUGACAAGGAGAGGGACUUCCUCAAGGUCCCCAAGUAAGCAACUGACCCCAGGAGCUCCAACUCCAGAGCCCAGGAUCUCAAUCUCUACUUAAGAUAAAGAAAAUACAUUUGAAUACAUGCAGCAUGGAUGGCUCUCGGAAACCCAAGAGCAAGGGCAACAGAUCUCCUUCCCACACACAGAGGAAGAUGUGGAUGGUGCUGACCUGACCA